AUUGAACGCUGGCGGAAUGCUUUACACAUGCAAGUCGAACGGUAACAGGUCUUCGGAUGCUGACGAGUGGCGAACGGGUGAGUAAUAUAUCGGGACGCGCCGAGUCGUGGGGGAUAACGUAGCGAAAGUUACGCUAAUACCGCAUACGAUCUAUGGAAGAAAGCGGGGGAUCGCAAGACCUCGCGCGCUUGGAGCGGCCGAUAUCAGAUUAGGACGUGGGUGGGGUAAAGGCUCACCAAGCCAACGAUCUGUAGCUGGUCUGAGAGGACGACCAGCCACACUGGAACUGAGACACGGUCCAGACUCCUACGGGAGGCAGCAGUGGGGAAUUUUGGACAAUGGACGCAAGUCUGAUCCAGCCAUUCCGCGUGCAGGAUGAAGGCCCUCGGGUUGUAAACUGCUUUUGUACGGAACGAAAAGGUCUCUCCUAAUACGAGGGGCUCAUGACGGUACCGUAAGAAUAAGCACCGGCUAACUACGUGCCAGCCGCCGCAGUAACAC
rnacentral:rRNA from 1 species